AAGUCGUAACAAGGUUUCCGUAGGUGAACCUGCGGAAGGAUCAUUAACACGUAUCCAACGUUAAACCCCCCGUGAACCUUCAUUGUGCUCCCCCAUUCCGUUAGGACGCGGCAAUCCCUGGUAAAUCAUCGCCGACCUGAGGCAAGUGGCCUGGCAUUCGAAAGAAUGGCGCAGUAACGAUCGCUAGAGGCCGACACGGCCGGCGACCGGGUCACUGGGCUCACGCCCCCCUAUCACCUUUGCAUGAAAACGGGCCUGCGCUUAAUUGUGCGGCCACCAAACUCGAACAACUGUUAACAAUGGAUAUCUUGGUUCUC
rnacentral:misc_RNA from 1 species